AUACGAAGGUGGCAAGCGUUGUUCGGAAUCACUGGGCUUAAAGCGCACGCAGGCGGAGAUGAAAGUGUCUUGUGAAAUCCCUCGGCUUAACCGAGGAAUCGCUGGGCAAACUACAUGUCUUGAGGCAAGCAGGGGUGUGUGGAACUCUUGGUGGAGCGGUGGAAUGCGUAGAUAUCAAGAGGAACGCCGAAGGUGAAGACAGCACACUGGGCUUGACCUGACGCUGAGGUGCGAAAGCGUGGGGAGCGAACGGCAUUAGAUACCCCGGUAGUUCACGCCGUAAACGAUGCCUACUAGGUUGUGGGGAUUCUGACAUUCUCACAGUCGAAGCAAAAGUGUUAAGUAGGCCGCCUGGGGAGUACGGUCGCAAGGCUAAA
rnacentral:rRNA from 1 species